GCCAAAUAAGACAUUUCCUGUGGAAUCAAAGGCUGAAUGUGGCUCUGCAAGCAGGACCACAGAUAUUGAUGCAGAUCAGGAUCAUGUGAACUUGUCCCCCAUGAUACGCCACCUUGUGGAAAACAUGACCGAAGAGCAUUGGAGAGUUGUCCGUGAGGCUCUACAUGUG